UGGGGAAUCGUCUAGCGGUAGGACACCAGACUUUGGAUCUGGGUGCCCAGGUUCGAAUCCUGGUUCCCCAG
rnacentral:tRNA from 1 species